AUGACGAGAAUGGACUGCGCAUUCUACAUGUACAUGAACCUGAAGCACUACUCCAGUGAUGGAACAACAGUAACCUUAAAGCCAGAACAAGUACGAAAGUUGAGGAAAAAGGUUCUAUAUCAACUAAUCAGCCAACACAGAGGGAAUACAAAACUGUCAAUAAUCAAGUGUACAACAGAUAUGCUGAAAUAUGAAGUAGAUAUGGAAGACAAAGAAAUGCAACAAGCAGAAUGUUGCGUACUAGAAGAGUUUCCGCCAACUACCGGGCCAAAAGAACAUAUUAUGCAUGCGGCAACCACACAAGAGCAUGAGGUUAUUGAUAUAUCCAGUGAACACAAAUAUAUUAUGGAUGUCAGCAGCCACGCCGUCGCCCAACAAUCUUUCACAGUCCACGAACAAAAUGAUCCACCAAUAGAACCAGAUCAACCACCACCAGACGACAAGAUACCACAACAUGCCGAAGAUGAAACAGACGAGCAAAAUAUCAACAGCAAUAUCACGACCACAGAGCAACUGGAACAAACAGGCACUGAUUUAAAAGAGGAUGACAGAAGCAACGACAUACCAAAUACACAACAACAGGUUUCCGAGCAGAAGAAACAACCUGUUCUUCUUCAAGAAGAAACAGGCUCAACAAGCAAUCAUCAAGGCACCUCCAGCACCAUCUCUUUAGACUUCCUAAAACCAAAAACAAUGGAAAAGCAGGAAAAAAUUGACGAAUUUCUUUCAAGCCUUAACCCACUACAACUAGAGGUGUACAACAACCAUAUAAAGAUGGGCUGUAACUUCGAUUUAAUCAAAACAUGGCUCAACGAGCAUGAAAGCUAUGAAUUCAACAAAAAUCCCAAGCCGUAUCUGACAAUCUUGUAG
rnacentral:rRNA from 1 species